UGUUCUAGAAAAAACCAGUUCUAUGGUUUCUUCGAUUCCACUCAACUUUCUACUCAAAAUCACUUAUUUCUUUCAAUUUCAUGUUGUUUAGUGGUUGAUUUGCAAAGUAUUGAUUGAUAUUUGGCUAUCCAAGUGUUAUUAGCAAGAAGUUGGUGAUCAUUCUACUUAACCUUUUCAGGUAUACUUGAUUUUUAUUUUUUUUCAUCUUUAUCAUCAUCCUCCUUUACAAACUUUAUUUCAUUUGAGUCAAAUAUUUUUUUUUUAAUUUUGUUAAUUUUCAUCUCUAUCAUCAUCUUUUAUUGAUGAAAUAUCGAAUUCUGUUGUUGCAUGGUUGAAUGCUUGAGGAAUAUUUUCGAUUUAUGGUAAAUCAACUCAAAAGGUUUGAUUUUUUUUUUUAUGUGAAAAAGUUCCAUCUUUGAUAGGGUUCUUGUGGGUUUGUGUGUUGUAAUGGAUUUACCAUUUAUCUUUGUAAACAAAAAUAAAUUUUUAUUAACCCCAUUUUUUGAAUUUUUGCAUUUUUUAAAUUUCUGUUCAAGGGUUUCCUAAAAAUGACCUCAUUUUUGUAAUUCAUGUAUAACUAGUUUAUUAAUACUUCUAUUAAAAACCCUCAAAUUUGUAAUCUGGCUUCAAUUUAAAAAUUCAACUUUGUAAUCUAAUUUAAGUUUGUAAGUUACAGAUUGUAACCCUUUCUUCAUGCCAACAUUUAUGUACUUGCUAAACCAGUUUAUGUCAACAUUCAUUGCUAUUUUUUUAUGUUACAUCACUCUGUAUUAAUACUCUUAAUGCCAUGGUUUAAUUUGUACAUCACAUUAUUUUCUUAAUUUAUACAUAUUAACAUGUUUCUGUAUUUUUUCUUCAUGUCACUGUUUUCAUACUUUGUAGUCCAUAUUAAUUGUUUGACAUUGUUUGUACAUACUGAUUAGGUGAAAUGGAGUUAAGCAAAAAGGAUGUUGUGAUACACUAUGAGGGAAUGUGGGGUUUGAUUAAGCCAGGGCAUGUGAGACUAGGUCAUUACAAAGGUGGAAAAAAGGUGGUAUGGAACAUUGUUGGCGAUGUGCUGCAGUGGUGCUUCUUCCACCUCCAAUACAAAAAGCUCCAGGUAGACCCAAGAAAUUAAGAAUCAGAGGUGAUGAUGAACCAGUUCCAAAUAAGACAAACUUGCUAUGUAGCAAGUGCAAAAAGACAGGCCAUAAUAUCAGGACUUGUAAGCUAAGAGCAGAUACUACACAAGUUUACAAAAAAAAGU
rnacentral:lncRNA from 1 species